GACGAACGCUGGCGGCGUGCUUAACACAUGCAAGUCGAACGGAAAGGCCCUGCUUUUGUGGGGUGCUCGAGUGGCGAACGGGUGAGUAACACGUGAGUAACCUGCCCUUGACUUUGGGAUAACUUCAGGAAACUGGGGCUAAUACCGGAUAGGAGCUCCUGCUGCAUGGUGGGGGUUGGAAAGUUUCGGCGGUUGGGGAUGGACUCGCGGCUUAUCAGCUUGUUGGUGGGGUAGUGGCUUACCAAGGCUUUGACGGGUAGCCGGCCUGGGAGGGUGACCGGCCACAUUGGGACUGAGAUACGGCCCAGACUCCUACGGGAGGCAGAAGUGGGGAAGAUUGUACAAUGGGCGGAAGCCUGAUGCAGUAACGCCGCGUGCGGGAUGACGGCCUUCGGGUUGUAAACCGCUUUCGCCUGUGACGAAGCGUGAGUGACGGUAAUGGGUAAAGAAGCACCGGCUAACUACGUG
rnacentral:rRNA from 1 species